ensembl:lncRNA
GCAGAAUCUUAACGGUUCCCAGAUUAUGGGAGAAUGUGACUCCACUUCCUCAUGCCUGCACUGUCCAUCGCAGGUCUGUCUCUGUCCGUAGCCAAUGGGAGUGAGGAGGUGGAGAAUGUGCGGUCCAAGCGAGAUAGUAAGAGUGUGUCUGUAUGUUUGCCAUCUGACCGCACCAGUGACCGCCGCUCAAAAGGGGUCAUCAGCCUGAUCUUUAAAUCCCGGCUGGGCUCCAAGGGUGAAGAGGGGAAACCAUCAGACUCUUCUGAAGAUGCCACACAUUUCUAACUUCUGUUCCAAAAAGACAAGUUAGGCCUGCUCGUGUACCUUCACUGUAGCAGCGUUAAGAGAGUUCCAAACAACCGAUACCAUAAAGGAAGUAGCAGGACCACGUCAGUGUCCUGGUUGACACUUUAUUAUGGGUGUAUGACGAUGUAAUGCUUGAUGCAUAAUCGUUAUGAAAUGAUGAGAUAAUUAUUUAAUGAUAGUCUGUAACACAGUUAAGCGCAGAAUCAUGAUAGCAGUUAUUAGCUGCUCAAACCGUGAUUCUAAUAAAAAAUAUUGCACAGCAAUGUAUUCGUCAUUAAAAUCAGAAUUUAGGUGCUCUUGUAUGUUUGAAAUGGGGGUAAUAGU